AAUCAACGCUGGCGGCGUGCCUAACACAUGCAAGUCGAACGCGAAAGCCCCGCAAGGGGUCGAGUAGAGUGGCAAACGGGUAGAGUAACACGUGGGUGACCUGCCUUCGAGUGGGGGAGUAACGUCCCGAAAGGGACGCUAAUACCGCAUCAUAUGCUGCCUUUGUAAGAGGUGGACAUCAAAGCUGGGGAGUCGCAAGACCUAGCGCUUGAAGAGGGGCCCGCGCCUGAUUAGCUAGUUGGUGGGGUAAUGCUCACCAAGGCUACGAUCAGUAUCCGGCCUGAGGAGGGCGGACGGACACACUGGGACUGAGACACGGCCCAGACUCCUACGGGAGGCAGCAGUGGGGAAUUGUUCGCAAUGGGCGCAAGCCUGACGACGCAACGCCGCGUGGAGGAUGAAGACCUUCGGU
rnacentral:rRNA from 1 species